GUAACAUGUAGCCUUCGUGAUAUGUAACAAGUCCUGGGCGAUGUUUUCCUUUGAUCGCUGAGUGGCUGCUGAGCUUCUUCUCGUGGAAAGGAUUGUUUGUGCUAUUGACUAAAGGAGCAUCUUCUGAAAAGCAUUUUAUUUUUAGCUGGAUUUCUUCCCCAUUUGAUUUACCUCCUUGAAGCACACUGCCAGGCACAAAGGAGACACUUAACAAAUGUGUGGUGAAGCUUGGCCCAAAAGAGAUGAGGACUUGCACUUCCCUUUCUGCUUCCCAGGUGGAGGA